UUACGCAUGUAAAGAGAGAGAAAGGGUCGGUCUUUUAACUCUUCUUUGUUCCUUCUUACCUAGAAAGUGGAGAGGAUAUGGAAAGCUAUAUGGAGAGAAUAGCUGGUUUCUCAGACAUUUCUUCUUCAUCCCCACCAUCUGUGUCUUUCUCAACAAUGAUUCCCUCCCGUCUGUCAUUCUCCAACAAAGCCUUCACUUCUCCCCCAAAAUUCCAUUCACCGGGCGAAUUGAACCACCGCACGAAUACCUGCCGCCUAUGAACUGCGAACACCACCACCAAAGUUCCCAACCGUUCACCUGAGCACCUCUAGCCAUUCACCUAGCGAAGCAGUAGCAGACUUGAGUGACAACACUCACUUUGAUCCAGUCAAUGGUUAUUGAUAAGGAACUGUGGCUAUACAUCAUGUUAAUGAACCGUGACUAUUCACGGUGGUUGUCAGUGUCAGGAACUGAUCUGAACUACCAUAGCAGUGUUGGUGGAUGCUCAGGAGGUGAUUGGUAGCAACCCAGGUCUGAUAUGAAGUUGUUUGGAAGAUAGAAUGGCUUGAGGUGGUGAACCUAAAGAGUAUUCACAGCCAAGCCAAAGUAGUUGGAGCCAAGCCAAAAGUAGUUAGAACAAUUACUGCUGUUGCAGGAGCCACACUUAACAAAAAGGGUGUUAUUAUGAUCGUAAUGGGGUAGAUUCACAUCAUUCCCUCAGGGUGUUAUUAUGAUUACAAUGGGAUGUUUCGACUGGUCUGGCUUCAUGGUUUUGCAAGUGUGAGGUGAAGCUUCUACCCAUUUAUUUCGGUCUCGCCUUGCGAUUGAGGUAACCAGUUAACCACUCUUGAUAAUUAUUAUUUUGAAAGCUCAGAUGUUGAAUGUGUCAUUUGGCUAAACUCAUCUCCAGAAAGGGACUGUUUGGGUUAGGAAUGCUCAUUGGUAUGGGUCACAAAAGCCUACUAACUUGAGAUAUCACUCUAUCGAUUAUUGUGAUAAGUAUUUACGAGAUAUUUACUUUUUAGGAAAUGGCGGAGGCUCGAUCGAGAGCAAAAGCAUCUUUGGUUUUAAAAAGCGCACCUGAGGCGCAACGCGUCAUCAGGAGCAGGCUGCUGUGAUUAAACCCUAGGCGAAUGUUUUUCAAUGCAACCAAUCAUGCUUGAUUACAUAUUUGAUCUUGGCUAUUCUAAAAUUUGUUUACACGUGUUACUGUUUGAAAUUUGAUGAAGCACAAGUGUAUGGAUUACAUACUUUGUAUGAUAAACUGCGUAUUUACGCCGCCGCAACGCGCGGUGGGUAAAAGUUCUAGUUUAUAAAAAAUACGAGAAGUUAUUUC